ACUGGAUGAAAAAAGAUUUCUAUCUUCAGCUUGGUGAGGGGAUCAGGAAAUCUGCUCAGCCUGCAGCAUGCUGAAGAAGGAAAUGGUCCUUGCACAUGGCUGUCAUGGGCAGAGAAGGAAAGCCAUGCCCAUGGGCCACCUCUUCGAUGUCUGUGCAGCCGGUGUUUCUGCAGAAGUCGUCUUGCCUCUUGUCCCCUGUGGAAAUCGCCUUCUGCUUUUGAAUUCUCGAGGAGGAACAGGGUGUUCCCAGCACCAGCCAGCUGCCCUGGAUGUGUCCCUGCCUGGCCAUAACUCUGCACCUGACCUUUCUGCUCCAUCAGGGAAGCCCAUGUCUUCGCAGAUGGCAUUCUGGGCACUGCCUUUGUGAGAUCGGCACACCAAGAUCAAAUGAGCCAGCAACCAACCCACUUGGUGCCAAAUUUUUCCAGGAAAAGACUUUGUAAGGGUGUAAAGGUUUCUUUUUUUUUUUCCUUUUGCACUAACUAGUUUCCGCUCUCUAGGGCAGUAGCCUGGCACUUGGUUUUGUGGGACAGUCAACUUGCAAAGGCAAAAGAGACUAAAUGCCAGUGGAUUUAUAACAAAUGCAAGAACUCCGAGGGAGUGGCCCGUCAGAUUGCUGGACUCUUCUUAUGAGUUGGGGUGGUGUGUUGCAUAGAAAUAUGGAGUCUCAGAGCAUUGGCUAUAAUGGGAAUCCCUGGGGCGCACACCCCAAACACCUCAAAAGAUUGGCAAUUUCACUACCACCUUUCCUCGCCAGGAUCAUAAAUCGAAGCGAAGUCUUAAAACUAUUGUGAAUGUCAGAAUGAGGUUUUUUAUUGUAUUUUUAUUCCUCCUCAUGUUGCUAACCACUAACGUCAGGCACAUGCAUACAGACUCCUAGAGCCUCCUUGGCAUGGAACACAGGUGUGGUAGGUGGAGGGUGGGGGACAGUUUGGUGCCGGGAGAGGGGGAAGGCAUCACACAUCAAUUUCGCACUUUCCAUUGAAGAAUGGUGCUCUACAGGGCAGAGACCACUUCAUAUUAGAAAAGAACCCACCCUGCAGCGAUGAUGCAAGUAGUGUGUAGUGUUCAUUCUCAAGUAAGUAAAAGACACCUUCUUUUAUUUUACCGUUCUGUACAAGCCAUUUUGACCCAGUCGUAUGGGUUGAUGUCAAGCCAGUGACAGGAGGAGUCAAAGUAAGCAUUGGGGUUGGGACACUGGACAAGACGGCUCAAACCUCGCUCUGUGAUGUCCAGACUGCAUCAGAGGAAGAGGAUCCGUUUCUCACCUUUCUGUUCUUUCAGCAUAGAGUGUACAUUUACAUGGGCCCUUCAGCCUACCACUGCCUCUCCUCGGGCCGCUGUCAUUGGAUUCCCUCAGACUUGUAACCAGAUCUGUGCACCGUGCCCCCAUGCUUCGACUAGGUCAUGAGUUAUCUUAUCAUCGCUCUGUGGAUUGUUGCAUAUUCCACUGCUCAUUAACCAGGGUGCUAACACUUCCCUUAGCAAGUCACCUAUUUGGAGGGAAGGGUGUUGGGGAGGGGUGAGUCCUGAGAUGCCUUUAAGAAACUGGUAGCUAGCAAGUUCUGGGUAACCUUCAGACCCUUGGAGAAACAGGGUGAAGGAAGGGAAACAGCACACAGCCCAGUUCUCUGAGAAGGAAAGGCUUUGAGGAAAAUGCUGCCAUGCGCUACUCCCCUUCUCUUAGUCUGAUGGGAAAGCUGAGCACAUCUGUGUGUGUGUGUGUGUGUGUGUGUGUGUGUGUGUGUACACAGACCAGUUAGCCGAUCAGCCUCUGGCCGGCCACCUGGAUACUUACAGUAUGGCAGUGGGUGUAACCAACUGGGAAAAUCAAAACUGUAUUGUCAGUAUUUCAAAGCCCCAUGGUUUCCCCCUUAGUAAGCACAUCAAAUCCUUUCCCAGGUCAUCUCAGCCAGCUAGGGUCUGCAGGCUCCAAAAUACCACUUACAGUUGUAGUUUUAGAGAGGUGUUGUCAUUAAAUUUGCUGCCUGCCUCUUGGUACCAUGGCCCCGGUCCUCGGAGGCAAAUGCUUCUUGGAGGAGAAGGCGGCAGAAGGAGGGAACCUUUCAUCAAACAGGUGCUUUCAUGGGCUGACUUUGCUGUAUGAAGGAUGCAGCAUCACUCUUCAUGUGUCCCAUGGGGCCAUGGAUGGAGGUGGGAUGUGGAAUGCCUCUGUUCCUACUGUCCAUGUUAGUAAGGAGAAAAAAGCUAGUACCUUUCCGGGCAGCAUCCAGGUCAGAAAUGGUGUCAGCUUGCUUUCAUCCAAGGCUUGGCUUAACUACAUGCAUUGUUUACAGCACAGUUUACAACGCUGAUGGGGGUUCAGAGUUCUGUAGCAAGGUGCAAGUUGACUUGCAUGCUACUUGACUGUAGUGUGCAGUGAGAGGGUAAUGCCGUGGAGAUAACCUCUCCCCCGCCACCUCCCUCAACCCCACAUCCCCGAGAAGGCCAGAGAAGCAAGGUUGUGGGGCGAGCUGUGGUGCUCCAUAUUCCAGCCAGGACUUCCUUUACUUGACACAGAUUUUGCACUUUUGUAAAGAACGGGAGCCCUGCUCUCCUGGAGCAUGCGAUACAGGAGCCUGCAUAUGUUACCACAACUUUUUUUUUUUUUUAAUGGAUCCUUGGGCCACACUGCAGAAUUCCUCGGGGCAAGUCCAAAUGGGUCUGCUUCAGAGCCAGUAGUGUGUUGAUUCACCCAGGUGUAAAAUGAAUGGCAGAGCCUAAGUGGCCAAUCUGGUGUAGUCUGUACAUACCCUGAACUGAUGCUAUCGCAGCAUGUCUGUGGCGUGGCCCUUUCCCAGCAGAAGAUCUCCCAGCCUGACUCCCCCUCUAGGGUGAACGGCAGAUGCUGACUGGCACAGAGUAACAUGUUCAAUGGCAUUACUGGUAACCAGAAUCCAAGCUCUCGGACGUGUAGUGAGUAAAGCUGCAGAGAUUUUUUUUUUUUUUUUUCUUUUUUUUCCCUCUUCCAUAACUUGUAUCUGUUUUUUAAUGUGAUGAAAUAUCAAUGCCAUAUCACUUGGGAUGGGCUGCAUCCCAGCUUGACUUGUUGACAGCGUAUCAUCUCGGAACCUGAGCCAUGUUACUGUUUGCUAGUACAAGGCUCCAACCAUCAGGGGAGAUAACUCUGACCUCUGGGAACCUCACUAACAGCAAAAUGGAAGGCAGCUUCUCUCUGUUCAAAGGUGACUGCAACAGUGAAGACUCUUCGUAUUCUUUUUUUUUUUUUUUUUUUAGAAGCACAAACACGGCCAUCAGCUUGACCGGUUGGUUUGGUUGCUUUCCAUCACAUAGCCACGUGCAGUUUUAAUUUGGAAGUGAACUCUUUCAAGCACACAAGCAUCUCCAAAAUGUGAAAUGUAAAUAGCAUGUUGGACUCUUAUGUCCAGUGUUCAAGACUGCAUUGUAAUUGUAAAGGAAUUUUGAAUCAAGACUUGGCUGUGAAUUUCUUGUGCUGUCUUGGGAAUAAUAACUGUAGUGUUUGUAUCCUGUAUGUAAUAUUAACUGAGUUCAUUUUACUUGCUGAUAAAAGGGUUCAAGUGGAGUUUUUAGCAUCUAUCUAUCCCUCCAAUAACUGGAGGGAUCAGGGGCUACUUUUCUUCAGGCACCCCUGUUUAAUUUCUCUCCACGGAAAGGUAUUAAUUAUUUAAGCAUAGCCAACUCGGCUCAGACAAAGGGAUGCUUUGGAGCUGGACAUUCUUACAGGGGGAGUUCUUAUUAUCAUGAUUAUUAUUGCUAUUAAAUGAUCCCAGAUCAGGAUUCCCAUAGAAGUUUCCCAUAACAUUUGAGUGUUCACAUGGAACAUUCAGGCUUUCCCUGGGGAAACUGUUUCCUAUGGCCUGGCUUGGUACCCUUGUAUUUGUUCUUGGCACUGCAGUUUGGGUUGCAGAUGGAACCACUUGGACGCUAUUUGGAUGAGCACUGUACAAAUGACUACAGACCAGUGGUGCUCAACCUACAGCCUGUUGGCCCUUUCUAGCCCCAAAAGGGACCAUAUUUAGCCUACAACAUGGGGGAUUAACAGUAAGCAGUUUGGCCCAGUACAUCCCCUUCCCUAUCAUGCUGUCCCACUGAUUUCCCUCAGCAGGCUGGAGAUAAGCUGACUUCCUCCCUCCCCCUACACGGGCAGCCACCUCCCCUACUGAAGGGUAGCGGUGGUCUGUGGUGCGGCCAGCCUACAAGCACCUGGACGGAUGCUGGUAUAGAUGGUAGCCCACUGACUUCAGGUCCUGGUUUCUCUCAGUGAUGGGAGGAACUUGAGGUUGAUGCUGAUGCAGCUCAUUUUGGAGGAGAGAGAGAUGUCUGUGUUGCUGACUGCAGCUCCCUCCAUGUGAUUUAGGUGUAGAUGAGUUCCUGUCUUCUGAGAAUAGCCAGCGCAGAGGAAGAGGAGAGAUCUUGCUGGUGCUGAAAGGACAGAGUGGAGUCUGCAGACACUGUCUUGAUGGCCUUUCCUUUACAUGCAUUGCAAGCCCCUUAAUUACCAGGCAGGGGCAUGAACAGAUAGGGGUGGAGACUAUAAGGUUAGAAGGAAUUUCUAAACACUUGUUAAAAGCUCUGGCGCGUCCUCAACUAGGAGCUGCUGCUGCUCCUGCUCCUCCUCCCUAGAGCCAGAAAUCAAAAAGGAGCAGAGGUGGGAGGUUGCCCAAGCUAUGGGAUGCACUUUCUUUUAGCCCCUUUCCCAUGUGCUUUCAGUGGAGCAUGGGAGACAGUAGCACUGCAAGAUCUUGCUUCGCUUUGGGUUCAGCCUCUUGCAUGAAGCAGUGAGUAAGAAGAUGGAGCGUUCCAGCUCUUGGCUCACACAAAGGGUGGAGAGAGGUUAUGUCCUCCCAUGGUUAGGCAGUCUCUAGCAUUCCUCAGAGAAAUUGAGACACCCCGUCCCUCCCCCCACCAAAUAUCUAGGAGAAUGAACUCCACUAUCUACUGGUCAGGAGGACUUGGUGGGGUAGGGACCUUUACUUCCACGCAUUCAGGAUGUGUCUUUUCUUACAACUCAUUCUCCCCGUCUUUGGUGUUGAAGUUGCAGAUAAAUGAUGGAUGGUCUUUGGUAGGGUCAGCAGGAGCAGUCAAAGCCCUGGAUGCUUGUAGCAACAUUAGGCUGAGUGGGCUGCUCUUCUACUGCAGAGUGGAGUCUCCUCCUGUCUCCGUUGCAGGCACGUUGCCCAAACAUGAGUGGAAAGGGAGAGGGAAUGCAGUCCAGAGGUUAAAAGACAGCCUGGGAGCUGGGGAUGUUCAGCUGUACUUGACUGGGCAAAUUGCUGAGCUUCUCCAGGCCUCAGGGCUGUCAGUGAGAUGGCGCAGUGCCUGGCUGUGUCCAUGCUUUUCUGCCUGUAUGGCCAGGGGUAUUUAUUUUAUUUUGCGUUCUCUCCAACUGUGCCCGUGGGUCUGAGCACAUGAACAAAACGAAACGUCAAAGAAGAAGCACUUGCAGAAGUGCCGAGUAUUCCUUACUGCAGAGAAGUAAUUCUCCCAUCAGGGUCCUUUGAGGUGCUCUGUGUAUUUGAUACCACAUUUCUCCUCACUAUGCAAUUCCAUACUCCUCUCCCCUGUUCCCAGACAGAGUCUAAUGAGCCGACUUCUCCAGGGGCCCGGCAUCCAAAGGCUGCUGAAGUCGCAGAAAGACCCUGUUGACUUUCAGCGGCCUUAGGAACAGACCCCAGGUUCAUCGCACGCCUUGGGUCCCGUGUUAGCUAGCAUGAGCCGGGAGGCCCCUGCAGGUUUAAUUAACUGUCGUUUGUUAAGAGGGAAGUUCCUUAAUUUCAGUUUUUCCUUUGACACUGUGUGCACGGAAACUUACCGGUGAACAUGUAACUGGCCUUUUUGUAAUUCUUUCUGGUUUUGUUCUUAACCAUAAUGGUUGUAUAUCAUACCACUUUAUAUACAUAUAUAUAAUAUAUAAAUAUAUAUAAUUUUUUUUAAAACCUUUGAAUCUGCUAGUUCCUCUUCAGAUGUUCCUGCACUUACCCAAAAUGUUUUUAAAUUGUGAGGGUUAAACUGAGGAUUGAGCCCCUUUUUGUAUCUUUUUUUCCUUUUACUUCAGUA